GCAAGUCUGGUGCCAGCAGCCGCGGUAAUUCCAGCUCCAAUAGCGUAUAUUAAAGUUGUUGCAGUUAAAAAGCUCGUAGUUGAAUUUCGGGAUCAAUAUUUCGGUCAUGCCGUUGGUAUGCACUGUUAUCAUUGAUUUCUCACCUUCUAAAGAACCAUAAUGCCAUUAAUUUGGUGUUACGGGGAAUUAGGACUGUUACCUUGAAAAAAUUAGAGUGUUUAAAGCAGGCUCACGCUUGAAUACAUUAGCAUGGAAUAAUGAAAUAGGACAUCCGAUUCUAUUUUGUUGGUUUCUAGGAUCGAUGUAAUGAUUAAUAGGGAUAGUUGGGGGCAUUAGUAUUCAAUUGUCAGAGGUGGAAUUCUUGGAUUUAUUGAAGACUAACUACUGCGAAAGCAUUUGCCAAGGAUGUUUUCAUUAAUCAAGAACGAAAGUUAGGGGAUCGAAGACGAUCAGUUACCGUCGUAGUCUUAACCAUAAACUAUGCCGACUAGGGAUCGGAUGAUGUUAAUUUUUUAAUGACUCAUUCGGCGCCUUACGGGAAAC
rnacentral:rRNA from 1 species